UGGCUCAGGACGAACGCUGGCGGCGUGCCUAAUGCAUGCAAGUCGAACGCACUCGCUUCGGCGAGUGAGUGGCGCACGGCUGAGUAACACGUGGGAACCCGCCCCCGGUGGGGGAUAACGCGACGAAAGUUGCGCUAAUCCCGCAUACCUCCGCAACGAGAAAGCGCCUCCGCGCGCCGGGGGAGGGGCCUGCGGCCCAUCAGGUCGUUGGUGGGGUAAUGGCCUACCAAGCCGAUGACGGGUAGCUGGUCUGGGAGGAUGACCAGCCAGACUGGGACUGAGACACGGCCCAGACUCCUACGGGAGGCAGCAGCAAGGAAUUUU
rnacentral:rRNA from 1 species